CUAAAAGUUAAAAGUUUAACAAAAUAAACGAAAAAUGCAUUGAAUUACUUUACAGAUUACUGUAGUUAGAAGACAGACAAUAGAAAUUUACCAAUUUGAAGAAUAGAGAGAUCUCAAUUGAAAAGAUCUUCAGGAAAUUAUGAGCAACAUCAAAUGAUCUGGUAUAGAUAUAGUUGGUUCCUGAGAAGGAGAAGAGUGUAUAAUUAGAACAGAAUAAACUAUUUGAAGAAAUAAUAGCUACAGCCUUUCAAUGAUUGAUAAAAAAUUACUCAUGCAUUCAAAAAUCUCAGUGAGACCCAAGUAAAAUAAUUAUUAAAGACCCAUACCUAAACACCUUAUACUCAAAAUGCUAUAAACCAAAGUUUAAAAAAAGAUCUUGAGAGUAGCCAGAGAAAAUAGAAACAUUACAUACAGGGGGAAAGGAUAAGAAUACCUGGAGAAUUACUGAAAGAUAACAGAAGUGUACUUAUUAAAGUGUCGGAUAUUAAAAAAAGAAAAUAAAAAUCUCUUAUCAGAGAGAUUUUUCUCAAAAUGGAGAAUAAAAUCAAUAUACCUUGAUGCCAACAAAAGCUGAGACAAUUUGCGGCCAGGACAACUGUGCUACAGAAUUUCUAAUGGCUGUGCUUCUGACUGAAGGAGAAGGUUUCCAGUUGGAAAUGCAAAUCUACAGAAGGGAUGAUGAGCACCAUGAAUGGCGGAUAGAUGACUGGCUACAAAAGAUGCACACACCAAAGAGCAGAACAUGUUGGACUGUCUUUUGA
rnacentral:lncRNA from 13 species